UUAUCGAGAGGACAGCGCGAGGGCACCCCCUUUGUGAACUUAUACCUUACUGUUGCCUCGGCGCAUGCCGGCCCCCUCGGGGCCCCCUGGAGACAGGGAGCAGGCACGCCGGCGGCCAAGUUAACUCUUGUUUUUACACUGAAACUCUGAGAAAAAACACAAAUGAAUCAAAACUUUCAACAACGGAUCUCUUGGUUCUGGCAUCGAUGAAGAACGCAGCGAAAUGCGAUAAGUAAUGUGAAUUGCAGAAUUCAGUGAAUCAUCGAAUCUUUGAACGCACAUUGCGCCCUCUGGUAUUCCGGAGGGCAUGCCUGUUCGAGCGUCAUUUCAACCCUCAAGCAUUGCUUGGUGUUGGGGCACUGCCUGUAAAAGGGCAGGCCCUGAAAUCUAGUGGCGAGCUCGCCAGGACCCCGAGCGCAGUAGUUAAACCCUCGCUUUGGAAGGCCCUGGCGGUGCCCUGCCGUUAAACCCCCAACUUUUGAAAAUUUGACCUCGGAUCAGGUAGGAAUACCCGC
rnacentral:rRNA from 1 species